rnacentral:sRNA from 1 species
UCGCCCCGGGCUCCUCCGGCCGCUCAGCGCGAGGCUGGGGGCCUCGUUUUCCUCCCCGACUCCUCUCGGUGCCCACAGUCUUCUUCUGUCCCAUGCCUCUCCGUCCCCGAGGGGGGCCGGGCCGCCUUGUGACGCCCUCGCGCCGUCCUCGCAGAGUACGUGGCCGAGCACUGGGCAGAGGACACCUUCUUUGGGUACCAGUACCUCAACGGCGUCAACCCCGGCCUGAUCCGCCGCUGCACGCGGAUCCCAGACAAGUUCCCCGUCACAGACGACAUGGUGGCUCCGUUCCUGGGCGAGGGAACGUGCUUGCAAGCGGAGCUGGAGCUCAGCCAGACCCCUGGGCCAGAUUGCCCCAUCUUCCUGCCCAGUGAUUCUGAGUGGGACUGGCUGCUAGCCAAGACGUGGGUACGCUAUGCGGAGUUCUACAGCCACGAGGCCAUCGCCCACCUGCUGGAGACCCACCUCAUUGCUGAGGCCUUCUGCCUGGCCUUGCUGAGGAACCUGCCCAUGUGCCACCCCCUCUACAAGCUCCUCAUCCCCCAUACCCGAUACACCGUCCAGAUCAACAGCAUUGGCCGGGCCGUUCUCCUCAAUGAGGGGGGGCUCUCUGCCAAGGGCAUGUCCCUGGGCGUGGAAGGCUUUGCUGGGGUGAUGGUACGGGCUCU